GACGGAGGAUGCAAGCGUUAUCCGGAAUUAUUGGGCGUAAAGCGUCCGCAGGUGGCUGUUCAAGUCUGCUGUCAAAGCGCAGAGCUUAACUCUGUACAGGCGGUGGAAACUGAAGAGCUAGAGUAUGGUAGGGGUAGAGGGAAUUCCCGGUGUAGCGGUGAAAUGCGUAGAUAUCGGGAAGAACAUCGGUGGCGAAGGCGCUCUACUGGACCACAACUGACACUCAGGGACGAAAGCUAGGGGAGCGAAUGGG
rnacentral:rRNA from 1 species